AUGAAGCCCAAUUAGGGCUGACAUGGGGUUAGGCGAGGCCCCCCUUCCUCCCAGGUGUAGCCUACUCUCUCAUUCCCCAGCCCCCUGGUAAGAACAAUGGAGGGGCCUAACAGUGGAGGAGAAAAGAGGGACAGGCUAGGGGAGGAGGCAAGGGGAGGAGUGCUGGUUUAGAAGGGUUUUUAAUGGGAUGUACAGUAAAAUAAUUCAGACUUACUUGUGUUUGGUUUUUUUGUUGUUUCAGGUACUGACUGUGGGAUGGAGCUAAGCCAGCCUAGAAGGAUAGCGGGUCACUCAAAGAAAUUUAGGGAUGAAUCAACAUCCCAGCAGCACUACAGAGGAUGAAGCGGCAUGCAGCAUGUUCCAAGCCCUGGUCCCAAGUCUGUUCGCCGGACCCCACUACUUCUAGCCACCCAUGCAGCCAGUCAGGAUGUCGAGCCACCCACCAGCCAAGUCACCCGACCUCUCCCACCUUUGGGCCAGCAGAUCCCUAACCCCAGCCCAGCAUUCCUUGUCACAAAGGCAGCCACAAGCAGAAGGACCAGAGUGACCACUUCGGAUCCAGAUGCCAUUUUGGAAUGGCCAAACCCUUGAGGGAUACAAGAUGGAGGCCGAGAUGUUGAUUGGAGAGGAUGCCACCACGAGGCUUCUCGAAGCUUUACUGGAGGAAGGGGCUCCCCUGCAUGCUGGCCCAACUACAGCCCGGGAACAAAGGGAAAGGAGGCAUGGCAGCAGGAUUAGGAGGCACUGGGGCAGCAGACAUCACUCCAGGCACUGCUCUGAAUCAUUUGGCAGCACAGGCUUCGCAGUGGGAUCACGGGAGUGCUCCCCCCACGGGCAUCAGUACAGUGAAGCCGGCAACAGAGAAUUGAGAUAUAAGGACAAGAUUUGAACUGCAGCAAAGGCUUGGCACUCUCACAAUGGGAUCAAGGAUGGCAGACGGAGAGAAUAAAGGAGAUAGCAAGACAAAGGGAGUAAUGGAAUCAACAAUACAGGCCAUGUGUGACCAGAGAUUGCAAAACUACAUCAACAGGAUCAGGUGUGGACAGAAAGCAAACAGAGCACAGAGGAGCCAGUUCAUAAGGGCAAAUGGGAUUACCUGAUUAACAAGGCAACGAUGGCAUCAUAGCCAGUCACAGCAGAAGCCGAGAGAGGAGUCAGCAUCUGAGGUGCAUGGCCAAAAGGAGGCAGGGAAUACAUCAAAGGUUCCCCUAGUUACCUGCCUGCUCCCCGCACAUGCACUCUAUGGCGCCCUCUAUUGGCCUAACAACUGUCUAUGGCUGACUGGACUGUGGCCCUAUGCUGACAUCUCACUACGCCGAUUCCCCCAAGCUGAGCAACAUCAUCAUAACUGAUACCGGACAUUUUGCAACAAGUGGAAGACGCGUCUAUCUCCUUCAAGCCACAGGAUUUUCUCCCGGUAUGUUCGGACUGUCUGCUUCUUAUUAACAAGCUCCUUACUAAAAGCAUUCCUGUAGUCUAUGCUAUGAUUUAUCCCCAUAUCCUGACGCAAAGUCCUGCGGCUCUCUUUACAACACUGUGUGCCGCAUUUUUUCUUACAAGCGUUCCGCAUUCAUGUUACACAGCACAGAUGUUUUAUGAACUAUAACCACCUCACAUUUGAAGCGCUGUAUAUUAUGUUUUGACACAUUGUUUGCUCCCAAACUGGACUGACACGUUAUAUGAGGCUACAAGUGUGUAUAUAUUAUCUCCCCAUCAUUGUUACAUUGUAGUCACUUGAUUUAAUGCAUUACUCAUGCUAUUUGUACAACACUGUUUUUUCGUUAUCCUUUUUCUUUUUUUGUAAUCCCUUUGCUAUUUUUUGUCUGUCAUGUUUAUGCACAUAGCCCUCCCACGACAAUGACGCUAUUUGACGUCACCCAUUCCCGCCACUGGUGCUUUAAAAUGGUUGCUAUUGUUUGUUCUGGUCACUUUGAGAAAGGCUAGGGACCUAGUAGAAACGUUAGUCGUAUUUUUGUUGAAAUAAAACCUCUUUUUUUAACUUUAAAGGACCAGUAACAUAAAAAAAAAAUGUUUAAAAAUUCGUUAGUGCACAACAAAAAAUAA